AUUGAACGCUGGCGGAAUGCUUUACACAUGCAAGUCGAACGGCAGCACGGACUUCGGUCUGGUGGCGAGUGGCGAACGGGUGAGUAAUGUACCGGAACGUGCCCAGUCGUGGGGGAUAACGUAGUGAAAACUACGCUAAUACCGCAUACGAUCUAUGGAUGAAAGCGGGGGAUCGCAAGACCUCGCGCGAUUGGAGCGGCCGAUAUCAGAUUAGGUGGUUGGUGGGGUAAAGGCCCACCAAGCCAACGAUCUGUAGCUGGUCUGAGAGGACGACCAGCCACACUGGAACUGAGACACGGUCCAGACUCCUACGGGAGGCAGCAGUGGGGAAUCUUGGACAAUGGGCGAAAGCCUGAUCCAGCCAUUCCGCGUGCAGGAUGAAGGCCCUCGGGUUGUAAACUGCUUUUGUACAGAACGAAAAGGUUUCUACUAAUACUAGGAGCUCAUGACGGUACUGUAAGAAUAAGCACCGGCUAACUACGUGCCAGCAGCCGCGGUAA
rnacentral:rRNA from 1 species